UCGGGAAUUUUGGGCAAUGGGCGAAAGCCUGACCCAGCAACGCCGCGUGAAGGAUGAAGUAUUUCGGUAUGUAAACUUCGAAAGAAUAGGAAGAAUAAAUGACGGUACUAUUUAUAAGGUCCGGCUAACUACGUGCCAGCAGCCGCGGUAAUACGUAGGGACCAAGCGUUGUUCGGAUUUACUGGGCGUAAAGGGCGCGUAGGCGGCAAUUCAAGUCAUCUGUGAAAUCUCCGGGCUUAACUCGGAACGGUCAGAUGAUACUGCUUUGCUAGAGUGCAGAAGGGGCAAUCGGAAUUCUUGGUGUAGCGGUGAAAUGCGUAGAUAUCAAGAGGAACACCUGAGGUGAAGACGGGUUGCUGGGCUGACACUGACGCUGAGGCGCGAAAGCCAGGGGAGCAAACGGGAUUAGAUACC
rnacentral:rRNA from 1 species